GCUUUCUCCCUUUCUGGGUUCGAAAUCAAGAUGGAACGCCACUCCUCGAUCCAUCGAUUCUCAGACUCUCAGUCUCUCUCCGAGUAUCCGGCCAGCUCUCUAGCUCUCCAGCUCGCCGGUAAAUCGAAUUUCUCUGGGUUUUUGUCUUUCAAUCGAAUUUCUGGGUUUCAAUUUCACAAUUUCUGAUUUUCUGGGUUCGAUUUUCAGGGCUUUCUGGGUUCGAUUUUAGGUUCGAUUUCUGGGUUCAAGGCUUCAAGGUCGGUGAUUCUUCAACCACGAAGCUUGGUGAUUCACUGAUUCUUCAAGCUCGAUUUCUGGGAAUUCUGGGUUCGAUUUCUGGGCUCAAGGCUUGAAGCUCGGUUCAACCUCGAAGCUUGGUGAUUUUUCAUGCUUGAUUUCUGGGUCCAAACUUCAAACUCGGUGAUUGACUGAUUGUUGAAGCUCGAUUUAUGGGUUUUGGAUUCUGCAAGCUCGGUGAUUUCUGGGUUUUGUGGUUUGAGAAUUUUCUUAAUACACUGCAAAGAUGUCGCCAACUGAUUCUACACGCGAGGAGAAUGUUUACAUGGCCAAGUUGGCUGAGCAAGCUGAGCGUUAUGAGGAGAUGGUUGAGUUUAUGGAGAAGGUCGCAAAGACUGUUGAUGUUGAGGA